rnacentral:misc_RNA from 1 species
AGCAGCCGCGGUAAUUCCAGCUCCAAUAGCGUAUAUUAAAGUUGUUGCAGUUAAAAAGCUCGUAGUUGAAUUUCGGGGUUAGCAGGUCGGUCGUGCCAUCGGUAUGAACUGGUCUCGCUGAUCCCUCCCUCUUGACGAACUGUGAUGCCAUUAAUUUGGUGUCGCAGGGAAUCAGGACUGUUACUUUGAAAAAUUAGAGUGUUUAAAGCAGGCUCACGCUUGAAUACAUUAGCAUGGAAUAAUGAAAUAGGACGUUUGAUCCUAUUUUGUUGGUUUCUAGGAUUGACGUAAUGAUUAAUAGGGAUAGUUGGGGGCAUUAGUAUUCAAUUGUCAGAGGUGAAAUUCUUGGAUUUAUUGAAGACUAACUACUGCGAAAGCAUUUGCCAAGGAUGUUUUCAUUAAUCAAGAACGAAAGUUAGGGGAUCGAAGACGAUCAGAUACCGUCGUAGUCUUAACCAUAAACUAUGCCGACUAGGGAUCGGAUGAUGUUAAUUUUUUAAUGUACUCAUUC